CAGUAGCCACGGUAAUACGUAGGGUGCGAGCGUUAAUCGGAAUUACUGGGCGUAAAGCGUGCGCAGGCGGUUUUGUAAGACAGGCGUGAAAUCCCCGGGCUCAACCUGGGAAUGGCGCUUGUGACUGCAAAGCUAGAGUGCGGCAGAGGGGGAUGGAAUUCCGCGUGUAGCAGUGAAAUGCGUAGAUAUGCGGAGGAACACCGAUGGCGAAGGCAAUCCCCUGAGCCUGCACUGACGCUCAUGCACGAAAGCGUGGGGAGCAAACAGGAUUAGAUACCCCCGUAGUCCCUGUCUCUUAUAC
rnacentral:rRNA from 1 species